rnacentral:lncRNA from 1 species
GAAUGGCAGGCCCCUGACAGCCUGGGCAGCCCAGGUAUCUGAUUCAGGCGCCAAAGCUUAUGAAUCUUGGAAUAUAGUCAGCUACAAUCAUGGGUUAUUCUCCAAAUGAAGAGUCCAAACACUGGCAAAAUAAAAAGCACAUUUGGUCCAUCACAUUCCUAACUAUAAUGGAUGCUGAGAAAUGGAUGCACUGUAACAACCCGCAAGUUUCCUGGUACUGCUGCUGUCAUUGCAAAACCAUUGCAAAGUAUCCAUCUCUUGCCUCUGCCAGAAAAAGCCAGCCGUUAACAGAAACUAAACCCAAGGUCACUUACUUUCACAUAAAGAGAAUAUUUUGGCAGCUGCCAAAAUUCAUUUUUCUAAUGUGCACUUACCCAAUAACUUAAGCUUGGCAUCCUGGGCGGAAUCCAACUUGGGUAAUUCCAUUUUCACAACCGAAUUCCCCCAAGGAGUUUGAGCUGAACAUCACAUUAUUCUUCACUUCUCCAGCUAUCCUCUCAGUAAUCAAACGAGUGCUUUUCAUCCCUGAAGCGUCAUGGAAAUAUAGGGGUGGGGGUUCAAAAAAGGGUUUCUUCUUAAGAAUAUAGUGAUGAGAGGUUCCGUUAUACGAACUUAGUAAAGUCCUUUGGAAGUCAAGACUGGUUUCAUUUUUUUAAUUAUUAUUUAUUUAUUUAUUUUUUGAGAUACAGUCUCACUCUGUCACCCAGGCUAGAGUUCAGCGGCGCAAUCUUGGCUCACUGCAACCUCUGCUUCCUGGGUUAAAGUG